UCUCUGGUAGUAUAGUGGCUAGUAUGUGAGCUUGUCAUCUGCAAAGAUUGUCCGCUCGAGACCCGGGUUCAAUUCCCGGCCGGAGAG